GCCCAGCACCAGGCUCUGCCUUAGUAGAGCUCCACCCAGGACAUCGUCGAGGAGCUGAUUGACGGCUUCAACUACUCCACCUCCCUAGACAAGGGGCAGAUGCAUCUGGCAACCAACAACAGCCAACCGUGGUCUUGGGAGUCAACUCUGGCACAGGAUGAGACCUGCACAACGCUGACCCCCAAGACAGGCAUAACAGAGAAGCUAGCAGAGGCCCUGGUACCAGCCUUCCUGGAUGGAGACAUCUCCUACAUCACCACCUUCUCAUCCACGUACCAUCGCCACCUUCACCACCACCCAACAGGUCCUGGACCAGGUGUUCCACAGGUGAGUGCCAGCCCCUCCAUAGCACAGUGGUGAGUCUCUCACCUACUAACUGUGUGUCUGUGAAAUGUCAACACACCUCUCUGAGCUUCACUUAUCUCUUCUGAAAAGUGGAGUGGUAGGAAGAUGAACUUCUUAGGGUUAUUGUAGGAAAUCAUGGGAUCAGCCACGGCAGGUGCUUACUUGCUGCCUGGCUCUGCAGAAGGGGCUGCAGGAUGUGCUGUGGUUGCUCACGGUUAUUAUUUCUCUGUCCCCUGUGAAAAGCAGUCGGCCUCUACCAUCACUGGGAUGUGGCCUUUCUGAGUCUGGAAAACAUAUGGAAAAGCACCCUGUCAAGGAGUUUGAGAUUCCAUCCAGCUGGUCUUGGUCCUUGUCCUUGGGGUAGCCAAUUAGGGAUCACUAGGGAAGCAGAGGGGCCCAGGCCCACUCAGACAUCUAGGGUGGUUCUGGUUGGACUUCAUUCACUCAACAAUACAUUAAGUACCUACUAUAUGCAGGACUCUUGGAGACACUUAGCAUAAUGCCAUGAAUGAAGCAGACGCGAUCCCUGGGCCUCAAUUCUGGUCUGUCAGACAGUCACACUCAACACCAUUCGCAGGUCCUGUCCACCAUACAUCCCACGUGAUGCCCUUGUAGCCUCUUCAACAUCUGGAAGCAUCUUCCCAUAUUCUGACCAGGAUGACAGACCAUGGACCACCUGAAAAAGUGAGCGGUGUUUGGGUCCAGAAGGAAGACCUUCUGUUUCUACAGAACAAGGUAGGGGAGUGUACGGGGGCUAUGGCUGGGGUGGACCUAGCAGAAACCUGCUCGCAUCUUUUGAUUCCCAUGAGAGGUUUGAGGUCUGAUGGCUUCCAUUCCAGGAGGACAGGAGUCAAAGAGAAUUGUGGAUGGGUUCCCAGUCCAUCAGGAACCAGAGAGGAGGUUGGGCUGGGUUGUCUCCUAGAGACCCAUCCCCACUACAGUCGCAUCUCGAUCUUCCUCCCCUUCUCCACAUCCACCUCUUUGACCACCACCAGGUCCAGAACAGAAGGUGUGUGAGCAACCUGCUCACAAAUCUGCCUGAGUCCGCAGUCCAGUUGCCCAAGUGCAUGGAGGGCUGAGGUGGGCCUUCUCCAGGCCCUUCGGGAGAAGAGUGUCAGUGGGAGAAGAGACUCACACAGACUCUGUGUUCAACCUGCUGGAUGAACAGGCCUGCCACUGCCAGGACAGCCACACAGGGGUCGGGGCUGAGAUGGGGCUCUCUCCUAGAUGGGAAGGGGCAGGCAUAGGGGCCCAGACCCAAACAAGCGUGCCUUGGGAGGACCGUGUGGAAGGAAAGGCCAGGCCUCUGACUCGGCAGCCCAACUGCCUUCCCCCAGUGCUAUCCUUUCUAUGGUGGGAACCUGGCUGAACCAAGUGCAGGAUUUCUGGGAGCCCCUGCACUUUCCCUAUUUCAAGCUGAAGCUGGCCUAUGUGUGUGUCAAUUUGCCUGGCUUGGACCUGGAGAGCCAUGCUGACCUUCUCUGGGUUCAGCUAGGGCAUCUGGAGCCUACUGAGGCAGAGCUGGAAGGAGAGAGGACUGCAGUCUGGGAAGACUAUCUGUGCUGGGGUGCAGGAGCUGCAGUUCCCUUAAAGGCAGUGGAGUCUUUCUCUUUGGAAAGGCACAAGGAAAGUCAGGUAUGUGGGUGAAACUUCUCUUUAUCCCACUCCAGUGCCAGCUCCAGAGCUCCCGCCAGCUCCAGAGCCAGAGGAAGGCCCAGCUCCUGGGUUAAAGCCAGCUCCAGCUCUAGUUUCCCCACCUGUACUAGAGCUGGAGCGAGCAUGGCCUCCAUCAGCCCCUCCUGGGCUAGAGCAAGCACCACCAUUAAAUUCAGCCCCAGUGCCAGCUCCUGAGCUGGAGCCAGAUGGACGAUGGACUCUCCUGUGACUUACACCUCCAGCUGCAGAAAUAAUAAGAGAGCCAGAUCCAGCCCUGGAGCCCACCUGCUUCUGGGCUGUGACCACCAAGAAACUGCUGAGGGAGGAAAAGCCUAACCUCUUGAAGUUCCCUCCCCAGCUGGUGGCAGAGCAGCUGACGAGGAUGGAUGUGGUGCACAGUGGGGCUCUCAGGGCAGGUGGGGCCUGCCUUCCCUGUGCCGUCAGCUGCCCCAGACCUGCCAUUCCCUGAUCCAGAAUACAAUGAUUUGGGUCCAAAUCCCAGCUCCUCCACUUACCAACCCUAGGACCUGGGCAGCUUUCUUAACCCCCAAGCCUUUGCUGUCCCUACGUGGACAGUAGAGAUGGACACUAUGAGCACCUGCUGCAGAGUGGCUGUGCAGAUGAAUGAGGUACAACAGAGAGGGAGUUGGGCAGUCUGGCCCUUUGGUCGGGGAGGGGAGCUCACUGAAGUGCUGCCAGAUCCUUGGGUCCAUCACCCAUUUGCCCAGGAGGCCUCAACAGCCUCGGCAUUUAUUAGGCACCUGAUAUGUACUUUCCUACAUGGAAGACAAACAAACAAAGCCCAUGGUUGUUGCUGCCUCGGGGGAAUGUGUAUCUGAAUGGGGAGUCAGACAAGAGGGUGAUCAGAAUGGGUGGAAGAUGCCCCUUGACACGGGCAGGUGUGAGCUGUGUUCUGGUCGUUGGAGGAAGUGAGACUGGGCUGGGAGCAAAUGCCUCUUCCCAUCCCCACAGUGUUGUGUCCUGGGUCAUCCUGUGCUGGGUACCCUCAGUGGACAGAGGCAAAAUCCAGGGACUCCCACAAGCCUCAGGUCACAUCCUCAGCUUCCUGAGCUCCAGCUCUGACCACUUACCCUGCCUGGGACUGUGGGAGAACUCUGGACGCUGAGCUGGGGUGUGGUAGGGCCGGGAGACACUCCCCAAUCUCCUCAGGAACCAUUCAAGAAGGCAGUGCCCUGCCAUUACCUGCACAUCAUCUGGUUCUGGCAGGAUGUCAGGGAAAAUGAGUACUUGGCGCCCACCAUCCAUGCCACCCUACACACUUCAUCACUGUGGCCAACUGCAUCAUCACCACUGGCCUCAGGGACCCGAGCAUGAUGACCCAGGACACGGCCAGGGUGGUGGAGCUCUGGAUGCAGAUGGCCAAGGUGUGCUGAGUCCUAAGGAGUUUCUCCUCACUGCAUGCCAUCGUCUCUGCUCUGCAGAACCCCUCGAUUCAUGGUCUGAAGAAGACAGGUUUCCAGGAGGCAACCUCCAUGAUGAUCACCCUGCAGAUCGGCCCCCCAAGGAGCCCAGGAGAGGCAGCAGCAGCACGUGAGGGUACCUGUGGGGGAGGGGCCCAGGAGUCAGAGGAGAGGGGGCUCCCCCCCUCUAAGCUGCAGGUGUCCACCAGGAGAGAGGCCUUCCUCCGCCAGCCCAGCUCCUGGUGCCACAGAGCCUGAAAGGCCUGCAUUUGAAGUGACCAGGAGGAGGUUUGGAAGGGCUGGGUGCAGGAUGGAUUUGGGGUGGGGAGGGGCAGGGACCAUAUACCCUGGGAUUUGCCAAAAGCCAGCCCUGGGAGGUGAGCGGCAUGGUGCCUCUGGAGGGGAGAGGAGGAGAGAAUUGGGGGGAGGCUGCUAAAGGUCCUGCGGUGCUCUAAGUGGGAGCCUGGGGUGGCCAGGAGGCUUGAGUGAGGGAUUUUAGAGGAGGGUCUUUGGGGUCCCCUGAGAGCAGAGGCUCAUCACCACCCCCACCCCAAUGGCACAGGGUGUUGCCCCCUUCCUUGGCACAUAAUUCAGUUACCUGCAGUUGCUGGAAAAUGUGAUGGAGGAUUAUCUGGAGAUGAGUGAGCCUGGAGGUGGGGCCAGGAGAUGAGGAUCCUGAGGUUUGGGAGGAGAGAGCCCCACAGUGAGCCCUGAGCUCUCAGCACUUGGCAAACCUCCUCUCACGAAAGCCUCACAGCCACCCCUGGGAGCCGGGGCCUCAGGACCAUCUUAGCAAUGAAUGAACUGAGGACCCACAUAAGCUGCCAUCCAGCUUCUCUGGGCUGGUGAAGCUCAGAGCUGCCUGACUGCAGAGCUGCAGGAGGUUGUGCCUGAGCUGGACUCAGUCUCUCCCUCAGGCCCCGCUCAUGGAGUGAGUGAAGUCAGGCCCCUCCAAGUCAGGAAAUACAUCAGUGGCUGAGCUGUCCCUUCCUGCCUGAGGCCUCAGUCUCCCCAUCCGUCAUCAGAGAGGGUUGGGUUACAAGGUCUCUGGCCUCGGCUCCCCUGUCCCCCCUGCUGUGGAGCCCAGAGGCUGGUGCAGGUCCCAGUCCUAUUUCCAGAAGUGCCUGCCCCCCAGCAGUAGUGCAACAUGAGAAGAGGUGGGGAUGGGGGCUCGUUAUGGGCUAAGUGAGCUGUUUCUCAUGGACUUUGGCUGUCUGCCUUCCAGAACAAUGUGAUCAACUUUCAGAAAAGGGAUGAGGUAAGCAGCUGUCGCCUCACUGUGGGACAGUGGGGGUGUGAAAAUCAGAGACCCUCUUGGACAAGACCCUCUCUGGCCCCAUCCCUUGGGUCUUAUAUUUAUUGGGAGAGUUAGAUACACAGGGCUGGGGAUCCCAUCACAUUGGCGGGUGGGGGAAGGGGCUGGAUCAAGGACAUUUUCCUGAGGAGGAACUAUUUCAACCCAACGAUGAGCACAGGCAAGUCCUGGAUGGAAUUGGGGGGAAGGAGGGUUCCCAAGUGGGCAAAGACCCCAGACUGGCUCCCUGCCCCUCUCCUCAAUCCCUACAAGACCCCUGCAGGAUCCCCUACCUGCAGGCCCUGUCUGCAUCCUGUCCUUCCUGUGUCCCAGCAAUUGAAAGUAAUUGAAGACAUCUCGCUACUCCAGGAGACUGAGCAUCAUUACAACCUUGAGCCCCAGGAGCAAUUUGGGUCCUGGUUUCAGCCCACGGAGCCCCUUAGUGAGGAUAAGAGUUCACAGGUCCACUCUGUCCUGUAGCUACAGCCUUGUCCUGCCAGCUGGAGCCCCCAUUCCAGUGGGCCAGCAAGAUUUGACUGUUCUUCAAGGCCAAGAAGAACCCUCCAUUUCAAGCUCAGGUCACCAGGCCCUCAGCACAGAGCAUGGACAAGAGGCAGACAACACUCCUGAGACCAGAUCAAGUGGAGCCUCUUCCUCAGUAGUGGGGACACAGCUGAGACACUCAGGGUGCACUGGGCCAGCUUCCACCCUGAUGGGAAGGAGAACAUGGUAAGCCUUCUCCUUGGAUCCCUGAAGCCUGAGAGAGAGAGGACGACCUGCCCCAACUCCCUGACAUCUGCACCCCAGCACCUAUUUACUCACUGGGGAGGGGCAAUACUUACUUGUUGUUAGUAGUAAAUAUUAGAUUUGAAUAUUAUAUUAAAAUCCCGUUUCUUUGAUAGCCUGGGAGUCACGGUAUGGUUCUUUCACUUCCUCAGCUCAUGUAAAUGAGACACAGAAUCUCACAUUCCUCCUCGAAUUAAGGAGUCUCGCGGGGUCACAGCUUACUUUACAAGGGGGAAGUGAAAAGAGCCAGCCCCCUUCCCUGGCUGCUGAAGGACACCCCCAAGUCCCCUUUCCUCAGAGGACAGGGUCAUUUCAGUGUGGUUCACCUGGGCCAGGAGCAGACACAGCCUCUCAGAACUCCUGGGACUUUCACAGACACAGAGACAACCACUGAAAUGUGGGUGUCUUUCAGAUGGCACUUGCCAGGACCAUAUCCUGCUAAGGGACAGUGGCUGCCUUUCUACAGCUUUCGAGGAAGAAGGAAUGUUUUCUGCUUCUCCUGCUGCAGUUUCUUUUGACCAAAUAUUAGGAACUUUUAGUUUUCUAUUUCAGUCUCUGGAUUACAGCAGCACUAAGUGGGGAAAACAAUGUAAAAACUCAAAAUGUGCAUGCGGAGAGGACAAGGUCAGCGGAAGGUCAUUUACAGAUGGACAAGGGCAAGCAGGACUUUCUCUC